GCUACAGAGACUACUAAAGGACC
rnacentral:piRNA from 1 species